GAGGAGGACGGCGUUCACUAUUUGCUGGCACCUACAGAUCAGCUUUCCGUAAGAGCAGAGAAGUCAUGCCGGGUUAGAAGCCUUGCUCCAUUAACUCUGAUGCUGUAUUUGGCCACUGGACUACAUCUCAGCAGGGCUUUGAAACAUCACCUUUUGACGACUUCGGAAUCACAUUUUCCAAGUUCAGAAUCCUAUGCAGGUUUACUCAAAAACGGCGCUUCUUGCAUUCCGUGGGAGUUCCUCCCAAAUGU